rnacentral:rRNA from 1 species
UGAACCGCAUGGUUCAGACAUAAAAGGUGGCUUCGGCUACCACUUACAGAUGGACCCGCGGCGCAUUAGCUAGUUGGUGAGGUAACGGCUCACCAAGGCGACGAUGCGUAGCCGACCUGAGAGGGUGAUCGGCCACACUGGGACUGAGACACGGCCCAGACUCCUACGGGAGGCAGCAGUAGGGAAUCUUCCGCAAUGGACGAAAGUCUGACGGAGCAACGCCGCGUGAGUGAUGAAGGUUUUCGGAUCGUAAAGCUCUGUUGUUAGGGAAGAACAAGUGCCGUUCAAAUAGGGCGGCACCUUGACGGUACCUAACCAGAAAGCCACGGCUAACUACGUGCCAGCAGCCGCGGUAAUACGUAGGUGGCAAGCGUUGUCCGGAAUUAUUGGGCGUAAAGGGCUCGCAGGCGGUUUCUUAAGUCUGAUGUGAAAGCCCCCGGCUCAACCGGGGAGGGUCAUUGGAAACUGGGGAACUUGAGUGCAGAAGAGGAGAGUGGAAUUCCACGUGUAGCGGUGAAAUGCGUAGAGAUGUGGAGGAACACCAGUGGCGAAGGCGACUCUCUGGUCUGUAACUGACGCU